CCUACGGGAGGCAGCAGUGGGGAAUUUUGGACAAUGGGGGAAACCCUGAUCCAGCAAUGCCGCGUGUGCGAAGAAGGCCUUCGGGUUGUAAAGCACUUUUGUCAGGGAAAAAAUCCUUUGGGCUAAUACCCUAGGGGGAUGACGGUACCUGAAGAAUAAGCACCGGCUAACUACGUGCCAGCAGCCGCGGUAAUACGUAGGGUGCAAGCGUUAAUCGGAAUUACUGGGCGUAAAGCGUGCGCAGGCGGUUGUGUAAGACAGGUGUGAAAUCCCCGGGCUUAACCUGGGAAUUGCAUUUGUGACUGCACGACUAGAGUGUGUCAGAGGGGGGUGGAAUUCCACGUGUAGCAGUGAAAUGCGUAGAUAUGUGGAGGAACACCAAUGGCGAAGGCAGCCCCCUGGGAUAACACUGACGCUCAUGCACGAAAGCGUGGGGAGCAAACAGGAUUAGAUACCCUGGUAGUCCACGCCCUAAACGAUGUCAACUAGUUGUUGGGGAUUUACUUCCUUGGUAACGUAGCUAACGCGUGAAGUUGACCGCCUGGGGAGUACGGCCGCAAGGUUAAAACUCAAAGGAAUUGACGG
rnacentral:rRNA from 1 species